UGGGGAAUAUUGCACAAUGGGCGAAAGCCUGAUGCAGCAACGCCGCGUGAGUGAUGAAGGUCUUCGGAUUGUAAAGCUCUGUCUUUUGGGACGAUAAUGACGGUACCAAAGGAGGAAGCCACGGCUAACUACGUGCCAGCAGCCGCGGUAAUACGUAGGUGGCGAGCGUUGUCCGGAUUUACUGGGCGUAAAGGGUGCGUAGGCGGAUGUUUAAGUGAGAUGUGAAAUACCCGGGCUUAACUUGGGUGCUGCAUUUCAAACUGGAUAUCUAGAGUGCAGGAGAGGAGAAUGGAAUUCCUAGUGUAGCGGUGAAAUGCGUAGAGAUUAGGAAGAACACCAGUGGCGAAGGCGAUUCUCUGGACUGUAACUGACGCUGAGGCACGAAAGCGUGGGUAGCAAACAGGAUUAGAUACCCUGGUAGUCCACGCCGUAAAACGAUGAGUACUAGGUGUAGGAGGUAU
rnacentral:rRNA from 1 species